GCUCAGCUGAGGCUCUUUUAAGACCAUGAGACUCUUAAUCUCAGGGUUGUGGGUCCAAGCCCCAUGUUGGGCA